CGCAGUCUGCAACUCAGGUGGAGUCGCUAGUAAUCGCGGAUCAGCAACGCCGCGGUGAAUGCGUUCCCGGGCCUUGUACACACCGCCCGUCAAGUCAUGAGAGUUUGUAACACCCAAAGCCGGUGGGGUAACCUUUUGGAGCCAGCCGUCUAAGGUGGGACAGAUGAUUGGGGUGAAGUCGUAACAAGGUAGC
rnacentral:rRNA from 1 species